rnacentral:rRNA from 1 species
AUUGAACGCUGGCGGCAGGCUUAACACAUGCAAGUCGAACGAUGACUCUCUAGCUUGCUAGAGAAGAUUAGUGGCGGACGGGUGAGUAACAUUUAGGAAUCUGCCUAGUAGUGGGGGAUAGCUCGGGGAAACUCGAAUUAAUACCGCAUACGACCUACGGGUGAAAGGGGGCGCAAGCUCUUGCUAUUAGAUGAGCCUAAAUCAGAUUAGCUAGUUGGUGGGGUAAAGGCCUACCAAGGCGACGAUCUGUAACUGGUCUGAGAGGAUGAUCAGUCACACCGGAACUGAGACACGGUCCGGACUCCUACGGGAGGCAGCAGUGGGGAAUAUUGGACAAUGGGGGCAACCCUGAUCCAGCCAUGCCGCGUGUGUGAAGAAGGCCUUUUGGUUGUAAAGCACUUUAAGCAGGGAGGAGAGGCUAAUGGUUAAUACCCAUUAGAUUAGACGUUACCUGCAGAAUAAGCACCGGCUAACUCUGUGCCAGCAGCCGCGGUAAUACAGAGGGUGGGAGCGUUAAUCGGAAUUACUGGGCGUAAAGCGAGUGUAGGUGGCUCAUUAAGUCACAUGUGAAAUCCCCGGGCUUAACCUGGGAACUGCAUGUGAUACUGGUGGUGCUAGAAUAUGUGAGAGGGAAGUAGAAUUCCAGGUGUAGCGGUGAAAUGCGUAGAGAUCUGGAGGAAUACCGAUGGCGAAGGCAGCUUCCUGGCAUAAUAUUGACACUGAGAUUCGAAAGCGUGGGUAGCAAACAGGAUUAGAUACCCUGGUAGUCCACGCCGUAAACGAUGUCUACUAGCCGUUGGGGUCCUUGAGACUUUAGUGGCGCAGUUAACGCGAUAAGUAGACCGCCUGGGGAGUACGGCCGCAAGGUUAAAACUCAAAUGAAUUGACGGGGGCCCGCACAAGCGGUGGAGCAUGUGGUUUAAUUCGAUGCAACGCGAAGAACCUUACCUGGUCUUGACAUAGUGAGAAUCUCUCAGAGAUGAGAGAGUGCCUUCGGGAAUUCACAUACAGGUGCUGCAUGGCUGUCGUCAGCUCGUGUCGUGAGAUGUUGGGUUAAGUCCCGCAACGAGCGCAACCCUUUUCCUUAUUUGCCAGCGGGUUAAGCCGGGAACUUUAAGGAUACUGCCAGUGACAAACUGGAGGAAGGCGGGGACGACGUCAAGUCAUCAUGGCCCUUACGACCAGGGCUACACACGUGCUACAAUGGUAGGUACAGAGGGUUGCUACACAGCGAUGUGAUGCUAAUCUCAAAAAGCCUAUCGUAGUCCGGAUUGGAGUCUGCAACUCGACUCCAUGAAGUCGGAAUCGCUAGUAAUCGCGGAUCAGAAUGCCGCGGUGAAUACGUUCCCGGGCCU